CUUCACUGUAAUCAAGUACAUUUUGUAAAACCUAAUGAAGCCUAGAUAAUGAAGCUUUUAUUUUUGACACGCAGUAGCGCUGAUUCUCAGCGUUCCCAGAGUAACUUCAGCCAAGAUUAGUGAAAGAUGAACGUGGUUGGACGUUUGGUGGUGGUUGGAGGCACAGAAUUGCAGCCACGCUUCUGUCAGACUGACCCAGGGCAGCUGUGGUUACACAAGUAGCUUACCACCAGGGGUGACUGAGGAGUGAAGAACUAACUACAAGCACAAUAUACUGUUCAUCGCCUGACACCGUGGGGGACCUAGAUUCAAGACCCCGACUGGACCAUCCGCCAACAUCCCCCGGACUUACGGCUGUGGUGUCCUUCAGCAAGACACUGAUACCCAGAAAUGCUCCCCGGGCGCUUCAGCUGCCCCCUGCUCCAGUGUGUUCCACUAACGUGUAUGUGUUCACUGUGAUGGGUUAAAUGCAGAGAAAAAUUUCGUGUGCAUGCAUGCAUGUUCAUGACAAUAAAAGAUGAUUAUUCUGUCCAUGUGUAUAUAAAUAAUAGGUAUAAAUAUAUAGGGAUUUUUUGUUUAUUGCUCCUUUUUAUUUAGAAAGUUUUGAGACAUUUUUUAAAUGUUUCUUUAGUAAAUGAGCUAAACUGCACUGCACUAAACAAAACUGAACUCGCAUGCACGCAUGCCCAAAAAGCAACACUGAGCUGUGCCACUGCAGUCACACUUGCAGAUAAUGGAUUAGGACUUCCAAACGAAUUGUAAAAUUACUGUAAAAAUGCAGAACCCAGAGUAUAAAGACAAUAAUGAUCCUACAGCAGAAUUUACCUAUCCAAAUAACUCAAGGCAUUCGAACAAAUUAAGACCAAUACGUCUAGUGCAUUUUUUCUUUUGUGGGUAAAUAUAGAAAAUA